rnacentral:rRNA from 1 species
GAUGAACGCUGGCGGCGUGCCUAAUACAUGCAAGUCGAGCGAACGGACGAGAAGCUUGCUUCUCUGAUGUUAGCGGCGGACGGGUGAGUAACACGUGGAUAACCUACCUAUAAGACUGGGAUAACUUCGGGAAACCGGAGCUAAGACCGGAUAAUAUUUUGAAUCGCAUGGUUCAAAAGUGAAAGACGGUCUUGCUGUCACUUAUAGAUGGAUCCGCGCUGCAUUAGCUAGUUGGUAAGGUAACGGCUUACCAAGGCAACGAUGCAUAGCCGACCUGAGAGGGUGAUUGGCCAGCCGGGCAGUGAGACAGGGUACAGACUCCUGGAGGAAGAAGCAGUAGGGACUCUUACGCAAGGGGCGAGAGCCUGACGGAGAAAAGCGGCGUGAGUGAUGAACGUCUUCGGAUCGGAGAACUCUGUUAUCAGGGAAGAACAUAUGUGUAAGUCACUGGGCACAUCAUGACGGUACCUGAUCAGAAAGCCACGGCUAACUACGUG